UUUUUUUUUUUUUGGAUUUCCCUGUCUGGGUUGACUUCUGGUCGCUCUGCCCCGUGUUCUAGUCUUGGGUCGAUACCUGAUGUUAUUGAUUUUCUAACCAAAGAACUCCCUUUAGUAUUUAUUAUAGUUUUGGUUUGGUUUUUAUGAAUUCCCUCAAGUUGUGUUUAUCUGGAAAUGUCUUAAUUUCACCUUCAUUUAAGAGGCAGUUUUGAUGGGUAUAUGAUUUUCGGCAGGCAAUUUUUUUCCUUCAGUUUUUUAAAUAUGUCAUUCCAUUGCCUUCUUGCCUGCAUGGUUUCUGCCGAGUAGUCUGAGAAUUUUCCUAUUGGCUCUCCCUUGUAGGUGACUUUUCUUUUAUCCCUUGCUGCUCUUAUAAUUGUCUCUUUAUCUUUGUUUUUGGCAAGCUAGGCGACUUUCUUUUAAGAUCUACCUUAUGUGGAGUUUCAUGAGAAUCUCGGAUAGAUAUCUUCUCAUCUUUCACACUAUCGGGGAAGUUUUCUGGCAACAAAUCCUCAACAAUUUUCUCUGCAUUUUCUGUUCUCCCUCCCUGUUCUGGUACUCCAAUCAGUCGUAGGUCAUUUCUCUUGAUAGAGUCCCCCAUGAUUCUUAAGGUUUCUUCAUUUUUAAAAAUUCUUUUAUCUGAUUUUUCUUCAAAUAUAUUAGUGCCAAGUGAUUUAUCUUCAAGUUCAGAAAUUCUAGCUUCUACUUGCUCACUUGUGCUCCUGUGACUUUCGAUUGAGUUAUCUAAUUCUGUAAUUUUAUUGUUAAUCUUCUGAAUUUCUGAUUGCUGUCUGUCUACGGAUUUUUCCAGCUUAUUAAACUUUUCAUUAUAUUCCUGAAUAAUCUUUCUGAUUUCUUCUGUUGCUUUUUUUGUGUGUUCCUUGGCUUGUUCUGCAUAUUGCCUCAUUUCCUUCCUGAUGCCUUGAAAGGUUCUUUUGUGUGCUGCAUCUGGUAAUUCCAGGGAUGCACUUUCAUCUAAAAGAUCCCUGGAUUCUUUGUUUUGAGAGCCUGUUGAGGUGAUCAUGGCCUGUUUCUUUAUGUGACUUGAUAUUGACUGUUGUCUCCGAGCUAUGUAUAAGUUAUUGUAUUAGUUUAUGGUUGCUUACUGUGUCGUAGCUGCUUGCUUUGUUUUGUUUUGUUUUGGUAUACCCCUAUGGGUUGCCUGAGUGAGUAGCUGGAUUAUUUUCUCCUUUGCAGCUCUGGUGUCCUGUCCUUAGCUGGGUAGAGGUGUUAUCAGGUAUAUCAGUCUAGUAGUCCAUUCAGUUUUCUUGUAUGAAUUCAGCUCAGGUUUCCAGGUAGCUGAUAUCAAGUGUGUGGUACAGGCUCUGUCCUACAGUCUGAGAGGGGCAGGGGUGAUUGGCGUAUAUACCGGUAUCUGAUUGUAGCAGAGGGUCAUGCUCUGAACAAGGCAGGGGACUGAAAACUGACCCCCAAGUGUCCCUGAGGAAAAUGUGUCUCUGUUCCCUAGAGCGCGGUGGUGGAUGGGCUCUGCAGAGGGACCACGGGCACCCGAAGUUUUUGGUGUAAGGACUGGUAGGUAGCAGUUUUCCCUGGACGAGUGUCCCGCGUGGCUGGGCAACCCAAGUGGAGCCAGCAGUCAUCAGGACCCUGUUCUGGGUAGGUGAGGAUUUUGUUUCAUAGGCAAAGCAAUAUCAAACGUCAAAUACCCAGCUGUCCACCGCACCGCUAAAAUGGUUGGAGUUUGCCUACAAGGGCCUUUUCUCCUGAAAUAAGCCCAAACAGGUCCAUGCAGAAGGGAAAGGUGCUCAGGGUCCACGGAUGGUUUAUACCUGGACAGGAGCCGCUUCUGUCCUGAACUUCCCCAGUUAAUGGAGGUAGCAAAUUAUCUUUUCCCCCCAGAUACAAAUUUUUUCCUUCCAUAAGGCCAGGAGGACGACUCCAGGUGCUCAUCAGGGUCUAUCUCAGGCCCCGGAAUUCGGCUGCUGAAGCUGGGUUGGGGGUGGGGGUGGGGUGGUAAAAUAUACUCAAGUAGUUACCUUUUGCCGAGAGUGCCCUUCUCCGUAGGUUCCGGAGGUGUGAGCAGGCUGUGUGGCCCGCUGCUUCUCUCUGAAGGAACUGCAUCUGAAUGCUGGGUCCAGCCGUCCACCGCCGCUGCCACCGCCGUAGCCGCUCUGGGAAUGUUGCCUGAGGGCUCCCCGUGAUUCACGUCCGAACUCUUCAAGGGAGAAGAGUACGAUGGACUUCCCAGUGGAUAUGUGGAGCCUGGGAGUCAUCUUGUAUUUGUUGUACUGUUCCAGGGAAAAGAGUACGACGGACGUCCAAGUGGAUAUGUGGAGCCUGGGAGUCAUGUUGUAUUUGUUGGUGAGUGGAUCGCUGCCUUUUGUUGGAAAUACCUUCACGGAGCUGUGGGAGUGUUUUCUGUGAAAUUGUUUGAAGUCAUCAAGAAUGAGAACACACUCCAUAUACUGUUGGAAUAAGUAAGUGGAAGGGAGGUUUCUCAUCAUGCAAGGGCUCAUGGCAGGAUGAGGGAAAAAGGGGCUCAAGCCACCAAAUUCUGCCAGAUAGUGUCCGUGGUGUAGGACUGUCAUAACAAGUGUAUGGUUCAGAGGGACCUGAAAACAGGAAACCUGGUAUUGGAUAAGAAAAUGAACAGCAAACUUUCAGGUCUUGAUCUUGGAAAUGAAUUCAGCCCGGGCAACAAGCUGUAAACAUCCUCUGGCAGUCUCCCUUCCUUUAUUCUGCCAUAGAACUCUUCAGGGAGAAAAGUAUGACAGACCCCCCAGUGGAUGUGUUGAGCCUGGGAGUCAUCUUGUAUUUGUGGGUGGGUGGAUCUUUGCCUCUUGUUGGAAAUACCUUCAUGAUGCUAUGGCAGGAUGUAGUGAAGGGACUUUCCCCCACAUAUAUCUCUGUAGUAUGAACACCUGCUGAGCAAAAUUUUCAUUCAUGACCCCAGUGAGAGAGGUACUUUAGAGGCAAUUCUGACACAUCCGUGGAUGAUGGUGGGUCAUGAAGAACAAAAGCUGUAUGUGGAACCACUCCCAGAUUUCAGUGACGCCCAGUGGAUUGAGGUUAUUUGCUACACAUGGCAAGAGAUUCAGUGCUUAUGGAUGUUGCCAAAGUACAGUGUUGUGAUAGUCACCUAUCUGCUCCUGGGUCAUAAGACACCUGAGACAGAGGGCCAUAGCAGCCUGCAGUGGAUCUUCAUCCCAUGGUGUACAGUGUACCCUCUUGUGCUAACCCAAGCAGAGGAGGUACAGCGAGCCUACCAUUCCGACACAUCUAGUGCUGCUAUAAUUUCCAGAAGUGGAUGGCUUUAAC